rnacentral:rRNA from 1 species
UACGGGGGGGGCAAGCGUUGUUCGGAAUUACUGGGCGUAAAGGGCUCGUAGGUGGCCAACUAAGUCAGACGUGAAAUCCCUCGGCUUAACCGGGGAACUGCGUCUGAUACUGGAUGGCUUGAGUAUGGGAGAGGGAUGCGGAAUUCCAGGUGUAGCGGUGAAAUGCGUAGAUAUCUGGAGGAACACCGGUGGCGAAGGCGCCGCUCUGGGCCGAAACUGACGCUGAGGAGCGAAAGCGUGGGGAGCGAACAGG